rnacentral:misc_RNA from 1 species
AAUGAAAAGCUGGUUUACCAGUGUACGGCCCCUGGGUUUGUUUCUGACAAGCGCCAGGACCAGUCGUCAUUUAUACCCAUGUUUUUUGCGUACUACUUGUUUCCUUGGUAGGCUUGCCUACCAUUAGGACCACAUAAAACCUUUUGUAAUUGCAGUCAGCGUCAGAAAUAACUUAAUAGUUA